ACAGUGUUGGUGAAGUGGUUAUCAUGCUUGCCUUCCAUUAGGACUUCUUAAGCGGCAGCAAGCGGGCGGGGUUCGAUUCCCCGACACUGUA